AAGAUAGUAAUUUAUAUUUAUAAAAUAUUUAAUUUGCAAUUAUAAGAAGUCUAGCUAGUCCUAUCUAA
rnacentral:tRNA from 1 species